rnacentral:rRNA from 1 species
CUACGGGCUGCAGCAGUGGGGAAUAUUGCACAAUGGAGGAAACUCUGAUGCAGCAACGCCGCGUGGAGGAUGACACUUUUCGGAGCGUAAACUCCUUUUAUAUAGGAAGAAGAUGACGGUACUAUAUGAAUAAGCGCCGGCUAACUCCAUGCCAGCAGCCGCGGUAAUACGGAGGGCGCAAGCGUUACUCGGAAUCACUGGGCGUAAAGAGCGUGUAGGCGGAUUAAAAUGUCAGAAGUGAAAUCCUAUAGCUUAACUAUAGAACUGCUUCUGAAACUCUUAAUCUAGAAUAUGGGAGAGGUAGAUGGAAUUUCUGGUGUAGGGGUAAAAUCCGUAGAGAUCAGAAGGAAUACCGAUUGCGAAGGCGAUCUACUAGAACAUUAUUGACGCUGAGACGCGAAAGCGUGGGGAGCAAACAGGAUUAGAUACCCCCGUAGUC